UCCUGCCCACCCAAACCCGGAUUGAGAACCUGCCUGGCCCCUGUCACCAGCUGCGACUACCACCCUCACCUGGACUGAGAGGCUGUUUCGCUAUGUUCCCUAGUAGGGGCCAUGGUUCUCUAUCGUAUUUAUGCCCAAUACUGAGAAGCUAUUUGGCAGGCAUCUCAAGUAGGGACUAAGGUCUACUUCCUUCCAUUCUCUUCCCUGGGACUACCUCACUGGUCUGGAAGUCCACCCAAGAAGUUAUUUUCCAAAGGAACUCGCUAUCAUGCUUGUAUAAUAAAGCACCAUCUUGCUUCAUUUUUUCCCUAACCCAUUGGAUUAUGUAUGGUUUUUUGUGAUGUUGCACUAGUAUGUGCUCAGGGUAUCUUGAAUCCCACGUGUUCCCAAUUUCAACCGACUGAAGCUUUGACCAAGGAUGCAAAAAAAAUUAUGGAGAUUCAGAACUUAGGCUGUCUCAAUGGUGCAAAAAUAUCCUUAGUGAUCUAUAAAAGGAUGUACCGUGUACUAUACUUUUUGUAUCUAAAGUCAUUUCUAAAGUUUUAUAGCUGAAUUAAGUACUUGUUUUUAUGGAGCACCGGAAGCCGAUUGAAUCACUCUUAUUUUAUAUACUCUCUACUUUAGUGACACUUAUUUGGUCAAUGAAGACUUUUACUGCAUCUUCAGCCUUCUCUGAAUCCAUCUUCUACAUGCUCCAGCAGUCCACUUUAAAGUCCACACCAAAGUCCACACCAAAUGUUGCUGCUACAGCAUGAUGUGAGAAGAUAAAGAGGUCAUAGUUAUAUGUACACCCAUUGCAUAUUGAUAGUUUUGGAAUGGUGAGCAGUGCCCAGAACUCUCGGCUGCAGAAGGCCACGUUCCUGGAUUUGUGUGCCAAGCUCACCCCAGCCCUCCAGUAUGUGGACACCAGAAUUACAGCUGCACUGACAGUUGAGAAGCAAGUGGCAACCA